GAUAAACGCUGGCGGUGUGCUUAAGGCAUGCAAGUCGAACGGCUCCGCAAGGAGCAGUGGCAAACGGGUGAGUAACACGUAAGUAACCUACCCUCAAGUGGGGAACAACUCCUAGAAAUGGGAGCUAAUACCGCAUGUGAUAACGGGACCCAAGUCCUGUUAUUAAAGCCGCAAGGCGCUUGAGGAGGGGCUUGCGUCCGAUUAGCUAGUUGGCGAGGUAACGGCCCACCAAGGCUACGAUCGGUAGCUGGUUUGAGAGGACGAUCAGCCACACGGGGACUGAGACACGGCCCCAACUCCUACGGGAGGCAGCAGCCAGGAAUAUUGGGCAAUGGGCGAAAGCCUGACCCAGCGACACCGCGUGGGGGAAGAAGGCCCUCGGGUUGUAAACCCCUUUUAUUAGGGACGAAUAAUGACGGUACCUGAUGAAUAAGCUUCGGCUAACUACGUGCCAGCCGCCGCAGUAACAC
rnacentral:rRNA from 1 species